rnacentral:rRNA from 1 species
UACGUAGGGGCCAAGCGUUGUCCGGAUUUAUUGGGCGUAAAGAGCUCGUAGGCGGUUGGGUAAGUCGGGUGUGAAAACUCCAGGCUCAACUUGGAGAUGCCACCCGAUACUGCUCUGACUUGAGUUCGGUAGGGGAGUGGGGAAUUCCUGGUGUAGCGGUGAAAUGCGCAGAUAUCAGGAGGAACACCGGUGGCGAAGGCGCCACUCUGGGCCGAAACUGACGCUGAGGAGCGAAAGCUAGGGGAGCGAACGGG